rnacentral:rRNA from 1 species
UGGGGAAUAUUGCACAAUGGGGGAAAGACCCUGAUGCAGCGACGCCGCGUGAAGGAAGAAGUAUCUCGGUAUGUAAACUUCUAUCAGCAGGGAAGAAAAUGACGGUACCUGACUAAGAAGCCCCGCUACUACGUGCCAGCAGCCGCGGUAAUACGUAGGGGGCGAAGCGUUAUCCGGAUUUACUGGGUGUAAAGGGAGCGUAGACGGAGCAGCAAGUCUGAUGUGAAAAGGGCAGGGGCUCAACCCCUGACUGCAUUGGAAACUGUUGAUCUUGAGUACCGGAGGGGUAAGCGGAAUUCCUAGUGUAGCGGUGAAAUGCGUAGAUAUUAGGAGGAACACCAGUGGCGAAGGCGGCUUACUGGACGGUAACUGACGUUGAGGCUCGAAAGCGUGGGGAGCAAACAGGAUUAGAUACCC